AGGCACGUAGCUCAGUUGGUUAGAGCACCACCUUGACAUGGUGGGGGUCGUUGGUUCGAAUCCAAUCGAGCCUA
rnacentral:tRNA from 1 species